CAGCCGGAAGGGGUGUGGUGGGCUCCGGAGGCGAAGGUGGGUGGGUCGGGCCGGGCUAGCUCUGGAGUGGCUUUCCCUGGCCGCUUGCCCUAUCCCAGGCUAAUCGCGGGCGGGACGGAGACAUGGAACCGGGCUCGGGCGAGGCCCCCCCGCCCCCCGAAACGUCUGUGAUGAGAGGCGGGCGGCUGAGGCUCGAGGACCGGCGGCCCCGCCUGGCCGCGUGGACGGUUCGCUUGGUGUGUUUGGCAUUGCCGAGUUGGUUGCUACCUGAAACCGGAGACUGGCGGCAGCCCCGGAGACCAUCUGUGGCCCGUUCCUUCCCCCUGAAAAUGAGAACGCGAAUCCCAAAUGGUUGAGGGAGCUCGAAGGGACAGACAGACAAAGAAAAAGCACCAAUCGUCAUUGAUCGGGGAGGAGGCACCUAAAUGCUCAGUCUUCACUGAGGUCUGCAAUCCUGGUUCUGUGACUGAUAGAGAACCCUCUUCCUAAAGCUGCAGGCCUUGGAGUGUCCACCUGUUCUCCUCGAUUCUCUAUGAAGUGAAUUCACUGAUCCAGGUCCACACGGAACGGCUUCACCACAGAAGACAACAUGUGAUACCUGCAGAAACAAUAAACACACCAUUGACUUGUUUACUCAUUCUCCUGCCACAGCAAUGAGUCAGAAGUCAUGCAGCUUAUUCCGGGGACCUUGACCUCUGUUUUGUAAGACGGUGUGACCUCAGUUUCCAGAGAGGUCUGGCUCACCGGAAAUUCAAAUUCACCUACGAUUAUCAUAAAAACACCUGGAACGGUUUGUCAGGGAGGCACAGUGUGCUUGCUCCUAGUGUUCCAUGGUUUGCUUUUAUCACCAGAAUCAAAACACCGUAGAGUCCUCUAUUUAGGAAAAAUGUGGGUUCCACCCUUUGCCCAACAUACUCUUUGAAAAACAAACUGGAAAUAAAAAAAACAAGAAGCUA